rnacentral:rRNA from 1 species
AUUGAACGCUGGCGGCAGGCCUAACACAUGCAAGUCGAACGGUAACAGGAAACAGCUUGCUGUUUCGCUGACGAGUGGCGGACGGGUGAGUCAUGUCUGGGAAACUGCCUGAUGGAGGGGGAUAACUACUGGAAACGGUAGCUAAUACCGCAUAACGUCGCAAGACCAAAGAGGGGGACCCUCGGGCCUCUUGCCAUCGGGUGUGCCCAGAUGGGAUUAGCUUGCUGGUGGGGUUACGGCUCACCAAGGCGACGAGCCGUAACUGGUCUGAGAGGAGGACCAGCCAAGCUGGAACGGAGGCACGGUCCAGACUCCUGCGAGAGGCAGCAGUGGGGAAUAUUGCACGAAGGGAGCAGGGCGGAUGCAGCGAUGCCGCGUGUAUGAAGAAGGCCGUAGGGUUGUAAAGUAGAUGCAGCGGGGAGGAAGGGAGUGAAGUUAAUACCGUGGCGCAUUGACGUUACCCGGAGAAGAAGCACCGGCUAACUCCGUG